rnacentral:lncRNA from 1 species
GCGUGCUGAUACUUUACCAAGGUGCAGGAAGACAUGGACCCACAUGGCAAGGUUUGCAGAAGGAGUAAUGAAAAAAAAAAAAAAGUUUAUUUUUCCUUGUACUCUAUAAAGUCUAUCUCAUUCAAUAAGUCUAUACAUGUAAAUAUCUCUGUGACACUAAUAAAUAUGUCAUAGGUUGGUAAAUUUGAUUUACAUUCUAAAUAAAAAUUCUGAUAUAAUAUUGAAUCCUUGCGAAUUAUUUUCAUUGGUGAUUGAUUUGAUGGGUGAUUAUGUUUUUAGGAAUUUAAAGUGUGUGUAAUCAGAUAUCCAUUAAUUAAAAACUAUUUAAUUGAGUGCCUAUAGUUGAGUAUCCACAGUACCUACAAAAAAUCUUUAUGCUACUUUUUCAAGGCUUUUACACAUGAGAGAAAGAAGCAGACAAAUAACUAAUCUUAAGACAGUGUGACAAGUGCUAUAAAAGGAAUGUAAAUGGUAAUAUUAGAUCAGAGAGUAAGGUUACUUUACCUCCCUUCUGUGGAAAGAUCCAGAAGGCCUCCCUAGAAGGUGAAACUUAAUCUGAUGUUUGAUGUUUUUAUUUAACCAUUAACCAGAAUGGGUUGAAAAAGGGUGAAGGUUAUUCUUGGAAGCAAAGCAAUUUAGCCCAAAGUCAUGCAAGAGAAGAACCCAACUUCUCAGAGAGCUGUAAAUAUACUAGCUUGAUUCUGGGGGUUCAUGUGCAGAUUUCUUACCUGGGUGUAUUGUGUGAUGCUGAGGUUUGGAGUUCAAUUGAUUUCAUCACCCAGGGAAUUGUGCUGCGCUGACCCUCAAGACAGCAGUUCUCACCCAGACACAUUCAUUCUCCACCUUCUUCGUAAGUUGCUCUCCUUACUUACCAAGCCAGCGCUGCUUCCUUUCUCUCUCCGCUUCCCUCCUCAGAGACUUCAUGCUCACUUUCCCCAAAUUUGUACUGCAUUGAUUCCUUCUCAUCAUUCAUGCCUCAAUUUAAAUAUUUACCAAUGACUGCUUCCCUGAUCAUGCAAUCUAAAAAGUAGCCCCACUUCCAUCAUUUUGAUCUCUGAUCUUUUCCUUUAUAGCACUUACAGACAUGUAUAAUCAUAUAUUCACUUGAGUGUAUGCUUGUUUAAUGUAGACCCCUUCCGCAACCCCCACUUUCCCGUAUAGACUGAAGGGAGGCAGGAACUGUGUCUGUCUUGUCUACUAUUAUAUUCCCAGUGCUGAGCCUUGUACCUGGCAUGUAGUAGGUGUUCAAUGAAUGAAAAAGUAAACAAGCCAGAAUAAUCGGACCCAGAAAUAUGCUGAAGGGAUAUAAAUGCCUAGCAAGAAGAAGGUUAGUAGGAAUAACUAUUAUUUGUGUGAUUUCAAGAUACAAAUGAUGAUAUAGGGAUAGAUACAGGGCCCUCUCGGGAAGCCAAAUGGCUGCACAAACAGUGUGGUAGGAACACAAUGUGGCCACUGUGUCUGUGCUGCUCUGAUUGGAUCUAAUGAUAAUUUUGUAAAUGCACCCAUGGUGAUUAGCAACUGGCUCAUACUGAAUAAACUCAUGACAGAUUUAUGUGUGCACUGCAAUGCCAACUUAUUCAUUCAUAAUACAAAAUAGAACUAUCAAGUCAACAUGCAGCUCAAUCACCCCCUAUAGGAGAGAGACAGGUAGCUAAAUUACAUCCAAAUGAUUAACUGCUCAGAAAAGAUUCCCGGUCACAAAUCACCUGUGCAGCUGAGAUACCAUCACCUUAGUCUAAGCUACCGUUGUCUUAUGUCUGCACUUUUGCAACAACCUCAUGACUGUUCUCUGCCGUCUCUGCCUCUCAAAUUCAUAAGGCACCCAGCAGCAAAAGUGUUCCUUUUAAAACACAAAUCCAGUUAGGUCCCUCCUCUAUUCAAAACCCUUCAGUAGCUCUCCAUUAUAUGAGAAGGAACUCCAGCCCUGACUUGUAACCAGUUUGUAAGGUUUGGUAUGAUGGGGCCCCUGCCUUCUCUCCAGCCUCAUCAAGUGCCCCUCUCCCCAGACCUUCAGACUCCCCAACACAGAGGUGUGUGUUCAGAUUUGAGAAUCUGACUAUACGAAUGGACAAUGGCCAGACCAUAAAUAAAAAUAGAACUCUGGGCCAGGUGUGGUGGCUCACGCCUGUAAUCUCAGCACUUUGGGAGGCCAAGGCGGGUGGAUCACAAGGUCAGGAGAUCAAAACUAUCCUGGCAAACACGGUAAAACCCCGUCUCUACUAAAAA